AGUAUUUGAAUGUUCUUCCUGCUGAAGCUUUCUGCCGGCCGGUUCAGAUCAGCUUUUUCAUCUGAAAGCAACGAGUCUAUCGGAUCCUUGAGGUGGGAGGCAAAGAACGCGAUUAUUUUAGUGAUCCUCGCUGGGAGAGGUACAGAUUCGUGGGUCAGACGGAGGGACAAUGGAUUCCUGGGCCUGGAGGUUCCAGACAUUCCCUAAUCAUUUACCCUUUCCAAAGCACUGGAACCACACUGACCCUGAUACCUACUAAUUGGUUAUUGAAGGGGGUGUGCAAGUCUCAGCCUGUUUUCACUUCCAGCCAGUCUCUUUCCCAUCGCCCAACGUGUGAUUAUUGUUCUGCUUCCUGGGUAGAAGUCCCUAACGAGUCCCCUGUUGGCCUGGGUGAGUCUCCUCAACAAGCUUCUUUUCUGAGCAGGAACACCUUUCUAAUGUGGACAUUGCAGGACAAUCGCUCGCGAAUCCUAAGUGCAUGUGACCCCACCUUCCAGCAGCAGAGGACGUUUCUCCUCGCUCCAGAGUGCUUGGAAUAUCUUGGUGGCACCUUCUGUUACCAGUGACAACCUGUUGACACUAAGAGGUCUGGACAGGAUUUCCCGUCACCGCAGCCAUACCACCUAUUACAUCUCGAUUUUCUGUGACUUAUGCGCUCCGGUCUCUGCACGCCUGCAGAGGCAUUGGAGAUGCCUUCUAGCACAGAGGCGGCGACCGAUGAAUGUGACGAUGCGGAGCUCCGGUGCCGGGUAGCCGUGGAGGAGCUGAGUCCUGGAGGGCAACCUCGCAAGCGCCAGGCCCUGCGCGCCGCAGAGCUGAGCCUAGGUCGAAACGAACGACGUGAGUUAAUGCUGCGACUGCAGGCACCGGGACCCACGGGGCGGCCACGCUGUUUCCCGCUACGCGCCGUGCGCCUCUUCACCCGCUUCGCUGCGACUGGGCGCAGCACGUUGCGGCUCCCCACCGAUGGAGUCCCUGGAGCUGGCUCAGUGCAACUGCUCCUCUCCGACUGUCCCCCGGAGCGCUUGCGCCGCUUCCUGCGCACGCUGCGCCUGAAGCUGGCGGUUGCCCCUGGGCCGGGACCCGCCUCUGCCCGCGCACAGUUGCUCGGCCCGCGGCCCCGAGACUUUGUCACCAUCAGUCCAGUGCAGCCAGAGGAACUGCAGCGUGCUGCAGCCACCAAGGCUCCAGAUUCUGCGCUGGAAAAGCGGCCAAUGGAAUCCCAGACUAGUACGGAAGCUCCAAGGUGGCCCCUGCCUGUGAAGAAGCUGCGCAUGCCCUCCACCAAACCGAAGCUUUCUGAAGAGCAGGCCGCUGUGCUGAGGAUGGUUCUGAAAGGCCAGAGCAUUUUCUUCACUGGGAGCGCAGGGACAGGAAAGUCCUACCUGCUGAAACAUAUCCUGGGUUCCCUGCCCCCUACUGGUACUGUGGCCACUGCCAGCACUGGGGUGGCAGCCUGCCACAUUGGGGGCACCACCCUUCAUGCCUUUGCAGGCAUCGGCUCAGGCCAGGCUCCCCUGGCCCAGUGCAUGGCCCUGGCCAAUCGGCCAGGUGUGCGGCAGGGCUGGCUGAACUGCCAACGUUUGGUCAUUGACGAGAUCUCCAUGGUGGAGGCAGACUUCUUUGACAAGUUGGAAGCUGUGGCCAGAGCUGUCCGGCAACAGAAGAAGCCAUUUGGAGGGAUCCAGCUCAUCAUCUGUGGGGACUUCCUACAGUUGCCACCAGUGACCAAAGGCUCCCAGCAGCCUCAGUUCUGCUUUCAGGCCAAGAGCUGGAGGAGGUGUGUGCCUGUGAUUCUGGAGCUGACUGAGGUGUGGAGGCAAGCAGACCAGACCUUCAUCUCUCUACUGCAGGCUGUGAGGUUAGGCAGGGGAUCUCUGGUCUGACACUGCAGCCCCCACAGAUGUUCAGAUGAAGUAACCCGCCAGCUCAGGGCCACAGCUGCCCAUAAGGUGGGACGAGAUGGAAUUGUAGCCACGAGACUAUGUACCCAUCAGGAUGAUGUGGCCCUGACCAACGAGAAGUGGCUGAAGGCACUGCCAGGUGAUGUACACAGCUUUGAGGCUAUAGACAGUGACCCUGAGCUAAGCCGGACCCUGGAUGCUCAGUGCCCUGUUAGCCGUGUCCUUCAGUUAAAGCUGGGGGCUCAGGUCAUGCUGGUGAAGAACUUGGCAGUGUCUCGGGGCCUGGUGAACGGUGCCCGAGGGGUGGUAGUUGGGUUUGAGUCCGAAGGGAGAGGGCUCCCCCGGGUACGGUUCCUGUGUGGUAUCACUGAGGUCAUCCGCACUGACCGCUGGACAGUACAGGUCACUGGGGGACAGUACCUCAGCCGGCAGCAGCUUCCCCUACAGCUGGCCUGGGCCAUAUCCAUCCACAAAAGCCAGGGCAUGUCUCUGGACUGUGUGGAGAUCUCUCUGGGCCGUGUGUUUGCCAGUGGUCAAGCCUAUGUGGCCCUCUCCCGGGCCCGUAGCCUCCAGGGUCUUCGUGUGCUGGACUUUGACCCCACGGUGGUUCGAUGUGACUCCCGAGUGCUGCAUUUCUAUGCCACCCUGCGGCAGGGCAGGGGCCUCAGUCUGGAGUCCCAAGACGAUGAGGAGGCAAACUCAGAUCUGGAGAACAUGGACCCAAACCUCUGACCUCAGCUGAAAGAGAAGACAAACUUUUAGCUUUUUUUCCUGGGUCAAGGCCCUAGGAAUUAACUGGGGAGAGGCCUGUGUUUCUUCCCUUAUUCAGCCUCUGGUAGGGUUAAGGGACACAGUUUCCCAUCUACUUAACUAGCAUUGCCUCAGUUUCACCUAUUUCCCCGGGGAAAUGACUUCCAGGGUUCAAAGCUAGAAAUGGUGAUGGUUACCAGAGGACAAAGCUCUCUACCAAGGGUGGAACACACAGCCACAGAGUUCUUUGCAGGCUGGAGAGGCAGUGCGGGCAGGGGCUGCAUUCAGCAGCAGCAGCAGUAGGAGCAGCCUGUCUUAUUACACCGCAUGUAUUUAUUUUGUGUGCUUGUGCACGCACAGCAUAUUGUACAUGUGAAGGUCAGAGGACAACUCGAGGAAGUUGGUUUUCUCUUUCCCCAAGUGUGUUCUGGGGGUUAAAUUCAGGUCACAGGGCUUGGUAGCAGGCACUUAUACCCGAUGAGCAAUCUUGCUACCAGGGUCGGUUCUAAUUUUCUUUGUGUUAUUAUAACAAAAUAUAUAAGGCUGAGUACUUUAUGAAAAAAAUGAUUUAUUUUUAAUUAAUAUAUGCUCACAGUUCUAGAAGAUGAAGAACACGGAACCAGCCUCGUCUCAGCUUUGCUGGGGUUUGACGGUAGCAGCAACCGCCUGGCGGGGACACUUGCAGGCAGGAUCAUGAGAGACAGGCACAGAGGAUGGUGAUGCUGGGGAAGAGUAUUAAUCCGUCCAUGAGGACAGGACCCCCUUGCUUUAGUUACCUCCCAUGCAAUCCAUCUCUGAAAGGUUACAUCAUCUUAACACUGCUACGCUAGGGACUAAGCUUCCAGUACAUAAACCUAUAAGGGAAACCAUCCAAACUAUGGCAGGAGCCUAGAGGGGAUUCAGGCCAGACACAAGCCCAAGAUAGAAGUUUAAUUACCUUCACAGCUGUGCUCAGCCUAGCACAGCCCCAAGUAAACAUCAUUCAGAGCCCGACUGAGAACAGACGCUGCAAAAUGUGCUGGGUUUAGGGGAGAGGCCGUGUUUAGGAUACGGAGAUGUAUGUUCUCCUUUGUAUUUAUUUAAGCCAAAUAAAACUGUGAACCGUGUAA